GACGGUAUACAGCUCAGUGGUAGAGUACAUGCUUAGCAUGCACAAGAUCCUGGGUUCAAUCCCCAGUACCUCCA
rnacentral:tRNA from 1 species